GGGGGACGGAGAAGGCUAUGUUGGCCGGGCGACGGUUGUCCCGGUUUAAGCGUGUAGGUGUGUGUUCCAGGUAAAUCCGGUUCACUUUAACACUGAGGCGUGAUGACGAGGCACUACGGUGCUGAAGCAACAAAUGCCCUGCUUCCAGGAAAAGCCUCUAAGCAUCAGGUAACAUCAAAUCGUACCCCAAACCGACACAGGUGGUCAGGUAGAGAAUACCAAGGCGCUUGAGAGAACUCGGGUGAAGGAACUAGGCAAAAUGGUGCCGUAACU
rnacentral:rRNA from 2 species